rnacentral:tRNA from 1 species
UAGAGAGUCAUUUAAAGCAUAAGAUAAAGAUUUUUGAUAUCUUAAAUAAAGGUUAAACUCCUUUUUCUCUAAU